rnacentral:rRNA from 1 species
CUCGUAGGUGGUUUGUCGCGUCGUCUGUGAAAUUCCGGGGCUUAACUUCGGGCGUGCAGGCGAUACGGGCAAUACUUGAGUGCUGUAGGGGAGACUGGAAUUCCUGGUGUAGCGGUGAAAUGCGUAGAGAUCUGGAGGAAUACCGAUUGCGAAGGCAGCCCCCUGGACAGUGACUGACGCUCAUAUGCGAAAGCGUGGGGAUCAAACAGGAUUAGAUACCCCUGUA